GGUUUUGUGGUCUAGAGGUAUGAUUCUCGCUUAGGGCUUCGUGUCCAUGAGCAACAUUGCGAGAGGCCCCGGGUUCGACUCCCGGCAAAACCC